AGGCCCCCUAAUCAGCUGGUGAGGAUGCUGGCCAGGGGCAAGGAAUCUAUGUAUAACCUCAAGCCAUUUCUUCCAAAUAAAGCUGAUGACUUAUACACUGCUAGAAGCCUUACUCAUUGAUCAGAAGUGUGGGGUUAACGUUAAUUGGAUUAAUUUCCCUGAAGACUUAGAAUCGACUACCCUACCUUACCUGAAGUGCCAUAUUUAACAGAGCUGAUCAUAUUUCAAGAUGGAAUACUCUAUUGAGAAAUGCAGUCCAUGUGAGAGUUGUAAGUUGCAACCUUUUGUGGUGCAGAUGUGAAGAAUCAGUGCAAAGGCUGCUUGUCUCACAUUUGCCUCUUGGUUCGCUUCUUGGCAGGGGCUCCAUCCUAUCAAGUUGGGAAUUUCAGGCCACGAACAGCAGUAAGGUGAGCAAUGUGACCUGAUGGAGGUGGGAAUACUUGGGGGGAGAUGGAAGGGGCUACAGUAGUGAAAGUUUAGAAGAAAUAAUAAGUUCCAAAUGUUUACUAUUCCCUAGCAGAAGGUAAGCCAGGGGCAUGGAGUGGGACUCUAUGUCUGCACUCAAGCUUUUAUUCCUCACAUAAGGGACACGUUUCCCCACAGUCCAGGCCACGUCACCUCUUGCCAGUGUCCUCAUUGUACUUUAUUACUUCAUAAAAACCACCAUAUAUUGAGCGGCCAAGG
rnacentral:lncRNA from 1 species